rnacentral:rRNA from 1 species
UCCUACGGGGGGCAGCAGUGGGGAAUCUUGCGCAAUGGGCGAAAGCCUGACGCAGCCAUGCCGCGUGAAUGAUGAAGGUCUUAGGAUUGUAAAAUUCUUUCACCGGGGAAGAUAAUGACGGUACCCGGAGAAGAAGCCCCGGCUAACUUCGUGCCAGCAGCCGCGGUAAUACGAAGGGGGCUAGCGUUGCUCGGAAUUACUGGGCGUAAAGGGCGCGUAGGCGGAUGUUUAAGUCGGGGGUGAAAGCCCGGGGCUCAACCUCGGAAUUGCCUUCGAUACUGGACAUCUUGAGUGCGGGAGAGGUGAGUGGAACUCCGAGUGUAGAGGUGAAAUUCGUAGAUAUUCGGAAGAACACCAGUGGCGAAGGCGACUCACUGGCCCGUUACUGACGCUGAGGCGCGAAAGCGUGGGGAGCAAACAGGAUUAGAUACCCCGGUAC